rnacentral:sRNA from 1 species
UAAUGAGAAUAGAAAAAGGGCGUUGCUAGUAACAACACCCCGAAAUGUAGAGCCGUUUAAGACGGUGGCUAAGUUUAGAAUUAGUA